GCAAGUCGACCGGCAGCACGGACUMCGGUCUGGUGGCGGUGGCGAAGGGUAGUAAUACUCGGAACGUACCCUGUUGUGGGGGAUAAUAGUCGAAAGAUUAGCUAAUACCGCAUACGACCUGAGGGUGAKAGUGGGGGACCGUAAGGCCUCACGCAGCAGGAGCGGCCGAUGUCUGAUUAGCUAGUUGGUGGGGUAAAGGCCCACCAAGGCGACGAUCAGUAGCUGGUCUGAGAGGACGAUCAGCCACACUGGGACUGAGACACGGCCCAKACUCCUACGGGAGGCAGCAGUGGGGAAUUUUGGACAAUGGGGGCAACCCUGAUCCAGCAAUGCCGCGUGUGUGAAGAAGGCCUUCRGGUUGUAAAGCACUUUUGUCCGGAAAGAAAUCGCUUCSGUUAAUACCUGGGGUGGAUGACGGUACCGGAAGAAUAAGCACCGGCUAACUACGUGCCAGCAGCCGCGGUAAUACKUAKGGUGCGAGCGUUAAUCGGAAUUACUGGGCGUAAAGCGUGCGCAGGCGGUUUUGUAAGACAGGCGUGAAAUCCCCGAGCUCAACUUGGGAAUUGCGCUUGUGACUGCAAGGCUA
rnacentral:rRNA from 1 species